rnacentral:rRNA from 1 species
AUUGAACGCUGGCGGCAUGCCUAACACAUGCAAGUCGGACGGCAGCACAGAGAAGCUUGCCUCUUGGGUGGCGAGUGGCGAACGGGUGAGUAAUAUAUCGGAACGUACCGAGUAAUGGGGGAUAACUAAUCGAAAGAUUAGCUAAGACCGCAGAUUCUCUGAGGAGGAAAGCACGGGACCUUCGGGCCUUGCGUGAUUGGAGAGGCCGAUAUCUGAUUCGCUAGUUGGUGGGGUAAAGGGCUACCAAGGCGACGAUCAGGAGCGGGUCUGAGAGGAUGAUCCGCCACACUGGAACUGAGAAACGGCCCAGACUCCGACGGGAGGCAGCAGUGGGGAAUUUUGGACAAUGGGCGAAAGCCUGAUCCAGCCAUGCCGCGUGUCUGAAGAGGGCCUUCGGGUUGUAAAGGACUUUUGUCAGGGAAGAAAAGAAUGUUGCUAAUCCCGACAGCUGAUGACGGUACCUGAAGAAUAAGCACCGGCUAACUACGUG